rnacentral:rRNA from 1 species
UACAGAGGUCCCAAGCGUUGUUCGGAUUCAUUGGGCGUAAAGGGUGCGUAGGCGGCGCGGUAAGUCGGGUGUGAAAUCUCGGGGCUUAACUCCGAAACUGCAUUCGAUACUGCCGUGCUUGAGGACUGGAGAGGAGACUGGAAUUUACGGUGUAGCGGUGAAAUGCGUAGAUAUCGUAAGGAAGACCGGUGGCGAAGGCGGCUUCCUGGACCGACACUGACGCUGAGGCGCGAAGGCCAGGGGAGCAAACGGG